rnacentral:rRNA from 1 species
UGUCACUGGUAAGGGCGUAUGGUGGAUGCCUUGGUAGACAGGACCGAUGAAGGACGUGACGGGCUGCGAUAUGCCUCGGGGAGCUGCCGAGUGGGCUUUGAUCCGAGGAUUUCCGAAUGGGGAGACCCGGCCACUGUUAUGAGUGGUCACCACAGUUUUGUGGGGGGUACGCAGGGAAGUGAAACAUCUCAGUACCUGCAGGAAAGGAUACUCCGUGAGUAGUGGCGAGCGAAAGCGGAUCAGGCUAAACCGGGUGCGUGUGAUAGCCGUCAGGUGUUGCGCAUUCGGGGUCGUGGGAUGGACUGUUCAGCCUCUGACGGGGUUGAGGAGAGUGAUAAAAUGUCGUGCUAGGUGAAUGGGAUUGAAUUCCCAGCCGUAGAGGGUGAUGGCCCCGUAGCUUGUCGUGCGAUGUCUCUUUAUGUUUAUUCCCAAGUAGCGCGGGACUCGUGGAAUUCCGCGUGAAUCUGCCCAGACCGUUGGGUAAGCCUAAGUAUUCCUGUCUGACCGAUAGUGUACUAGUACCGUGAGGGAAAGGUGAAAAGCACCCCGGGAGGGGAGUGAAAUAGUUCCUGAAACCGUGCGCUUACAAUCCGUCGGAGCCUUCUUUGUGGGGUGACGGCGUGCCUAUCGAAAAAUGAGUCUGCGAGUCAGUGGUAUGUGGCGAGGCUAACCCGGGUGGGGGAGCCGUAGCGAAAGCGAGUUUUAAAAGGCGUUUGAGUCGCAUGUCCUGGACCCGAAGCGGGAUGAUCUAGCCCUGAGCAGGUUGAAGCGCGGGUAAGACCGUGUGGAGGACCGAACCCACCUAGGUUGAAAACUGGGGGGAUGACUUGGGGUUAGGGGUGAAAGGCCAAUCAAAUUCCGUGAUAGCUGGUUCUCUCCGAAAUGCAUUUAGGUGCAGCGUCGUGUUAUUGCUUACAGGGGGUAGAGCUACUGGAUGCUUGCGGGCCCAUACCGGGUACCAAUAGCAGCCAAACUCCGAAUACCUGUUAGGUUUAUCACGGCAGUGAGUCGGCGGGGGAUAAGCUCCGUCGUCAAAAGGGAAACAGCCCUGAUCGUCGUCUAAGGUCCCGAAGCGCGUGCUAAGUGGGAAAGGAUGUGGAGUCGCAUAGACAGCCAGGAGGUUGGCUCAGAAGCAGCCAUCCUUGAAAGAGUGCGUAACAGCUCACUGGUCUAGUGGUUCCGCGCCGACAAUGUAGCGGGGCUUAAGCACGCCACCGAAGACGCGGCUGCAUGAAUUUUGUUCAUGUGGGGUAGGAGAGCGUCCUGUAUGGGGUGAAGCGGCAGUGUGAACUUGUCGUGGACUUUACAGGAGUGAGAAUGCAGACAUGAGUAGCGAGAGACAGGUGUGAAUCCUGUCCGCUGAAUGACUAAGGGUUCCGGGGCCACGUUCGUCGUCCCCGGGUGAGUCGAGUCCUAAGGCGAGGCCGACAGGCGUAGUCGAAUGGAUGAACGGGUUGAUAUUCCCGUACCGGUGUUACACCGUUCGAACUGAAUCUGAGAGUACUAACCUUCAUUUGCUGGUUGAUUUCCUUUCGGGGUUGUUGGCUGGUUUGUGUUGGGACUGUAUCGGUAGUAGGUUAGCGUGGGAGUGACGCGGGUAGGUAGCCGGCUGCGGAGGUGGUUUUCCGUGGCUAAGCGUGUGGGCUGUCCUCUAGGUAAAUCCGGGGGAUGUUUAAGCUGAGGCGUGAUGGGUAGGCUGUAAGGCUGAUUCCGGUGAUCCUGCUUGCCGAGAAAAGCUUCAACGUGAGGUGUGAUUCCGCUCGUACCCUAAACCGACACUGGUGGUCUGGUAGAGUAUACCGAAGCGAUCGGGCGAAUCCUGGCCAAGGAACUCGGCAAAUUACUCCCGUGCCUUCGGCAUAAGGGAGACCCUUGAUGGUGAUAUGGUUUUACGCUGUUGAGCUGUUGGGGGUGGCACAAGCUAGGGGGUAGCGACUGUUUACCAAAAACACAGGAGCGUGCGAAGGCGUAAGCCGCUGUAUACGCUCUGACGCCUGCCCGGUGCCGGAAGGUUAAGAGGAUCCGUUAGCUUCGGUGAAGCGGUGAAUUUAAGCCCCGGUAAACGGCGGUGGUAACUAUAACCAUCCUAAGGUAGCGAAAUUCCUUGUCGGGUAAGUUCCGACCUGCACGAAUGGCGUAA